GACGAACGCUGGCUGCGUGCUUAACACAUGCAAGUCGAACGCUGAAACCCUGGUGCUUGCACCGGGGUGGAUGAGUGGCGAACGGGUGAGUAACACGUGAGUAACCUGCCCCCGACUUCGGGAUAAGCCCGGGAAACUGGGUCUAAUACCGGAUAUGAGCGCCCCUCGCAUGAGGGAUGCUGGAAUGUCUUUUCGGUUGGGGAUGGGCUCGCGGCCUAUCAGUUUGUUGGUGAGGUAAUGGCUCACCAAGACGACGACGGGUAGCCGGCCUGGGAGGGCGACCGGCCACACUGGGACUGAGACACGGCCCAGACUCCUACGGGAGGCAGCAGUGGGGAAUAUUGCACAAUGGGGGAAACCCUGAGGCAGCGACGCAGCGUGCGGGAUGACGGCCUUCGGGUUGUAAACCGCUUUCAGCAGGGAAGAAGCCCCUUGGGGUGACGGUACCUGCAGAAGAAGUACCGGCUAACUACGUGCCAGCCGCCGCCGUAA
rnacentral:rRNA from 1 species